AAUAUAGCGAUAUGCUUUUAUCGGACUGAUGGUGAGCGGCGUGCGUAGGUCCAACGGUUAUUACUUUUUAUUUAUAUAUUAUAUUUUACGUCUUCAAUGUUCUCUAAUGUCUUAAAUCGUAUGUAAUGCUUUCAGUGCCACCGAAAGUCGAUAUUUCAAUGUUUCUAUUUGUUAAAGUGGUACUGAAAUGCAUUUUUUGUUAAUAUGUGUUUUUUCAUUGGUCAUUGUGUUUUUAUGUAAAAGUUCGGCCAAAACCUCAAAUUAUUUUUCUACGUUCGCUUUUCUUUCUCUGCCUCUCGAGGUGCACGACAGUUCCCAGCCAGUGGUAUUUCUUUUAUUUAAGCAGUUUUUGUCAGCAUUUUUGCAUUGAAACAUUUUUCACACCUUUAACCAGCCAGUGAUUCUUCUUAUUGUUCUCAACGUCUUGUGUAUUUAUAUUGGUUUCUUUUGGGCAUCCCGAGAUAAUAGCGUUCUGGUUCGAAGCCACCAAUGGACAUCAGUUCCCAGAUGUCACGCCAUUAUGAUUUGGUAACCCUGUUCAGAGCCUACACUUUGUAAGUCAUCAAAGUCAACUGCCAUUUCCUAGGAGCUCGACGGUGCAACACUUCAUCGGGUCCAUCACCCGCCGACUACCAUUGCGUCCUUGGUUGGUAUGUGGAACAUGUCCUAUUCGUGUACUAUUGGUAACGUAUUUUCUUAGGACCAUAAUUUAUAAACAAUUUCUUUGGCCGGUAUUCUUAUUGUACAUUUAUAUUAUUAUUCUUAGCAUACGCUCAUAGGCGUAAAACUACCUAGUACUCGUACAGUGCUCGAGUCCAUAUAAAAUUAACUUAUUAAUGACCCGUAGUAAUUAUUAUUAUAACACAUAAUGAAUUAUGAUAUUUAUGUCAGAAUAUAUUGGGGGGGAGGGCGUGGGUUAGUGACUCUUUACCUGCUAUCUUCAAAUGAUACUCCAUAGUGAAUCUGAAGCCUAUAAAAGUGUGAGAUUUUAUAGAUUGUGAACUUACCAGGAUUUUUGUGAAAAGGGAAUGUGAGUAAUGUGACAUACAUGGAAUAUAAUAAGGGUUAAUACUCGUCUUAAGGUCGUAUCGGGUAGAUGGCCAAUUUACAAAAAUAAAAAUAUAUUAUUCACAAGAAAUACUUAAAUGUCUUAUAAGAAUACCGAUUGCAUUAAGAAAUAAUGAAUGUCGAAAGAACAACUGUUGCCUGCGUGUUAUUUCAGGAAUGAUCCAGCAAUGAUACAUUAUAUUUACCUAGUAUAUUGGAUGUGCUGUCAAUAGUAAGCCAGAUAGGGCUUGCGUGUAUACUAUCAUUAUCACAACUGAUAUCACCAAUGCCUCAGAACUGCAUCUGGGAAAGUGGGAAUUGUCCAAUGUCAACAUCAUACAAAGUGUUCUCGAGAUCGCGUUGGGAUUUAAUCAUUAGCUAAUAAUAAUAGCUUAAGUUUCUAUAGAGAAAAUGAGUUCAGACAAAUUUGAGUAGCGUUUCUUCUCUUAGAUAUACGAAAAGAAAAUUAAAGACCUCGUAGAUAGACUUAAAAGAAAGCCAGAAUGCUUGUCGUCAAUUGUAAAAUGUUUAUAAAAAAUACUUAAGAGAAUUUAGACAGUUUUAUUAGAAAUGAAAUAAACUCACCUAAAAUAGUUACAAUUGAUGACAAAUAUAAUAAAGAAAAAUGCAAAAAUGAAUUAUCAAAAAAAGAACUAUAUGAAUCACAAUCGAUAAAUUCGGCUGAACUCAAGGUGUCGUGUUCAACUUUUCUCAAAAAAACAUGGUAUCGUUUAGACAAUUGAUUUCAUACGAGCUAACAGUGAAUAGGUGUGCAAAACCACCGGAAUAUGGACGGCGCUUUAAAGGAGUAGUUAAUGGUCUUUUUUCUUAAGAUUUUUCAAUAUGUCCGCAUAUCUUACACAUAAAUUAAUGUCUAUUAAAUAUCCACAAAUGUUGCCUACUCAUCAUCAUCAUUUGACAAGAUAACACAAGAGAAAAUAGAAUUUGUAAUAACUUUUCCGUAUGGAUACCAUGCUGGUUUUAACCAUGGUUUCAAUAUGGCAGGAUCAACAAACUUUGCAUCGCCCCGUAACUAAUAUACAUUUCAAACUACUUACAAUACACUCAAUUGUCUAGUUGGUAUCAUGAAACCCGGAAAUAUAGAUUAAAUAAAUGAUGGCAGUACAGCAGAUCACUCAAGGAAUGCUGAGACAUGAAUUCACAUUUCUACCACGUGGUACAGUUUCAACAUCCUAUGUUUAAAAUGGACGAAAAGAUACUAAAAAUAUUCAUGUUUUAAUUCAAUGUACAU